GUUGAUGAAAGCUGUAAAAUUUUCCUCCGAAGGCAGAGGUCACAGGUUCGAAUCCUGUCGGGUGCGCCA
rnacentral:tRNA from 1 species